CAAAGCUGCUCUGAAUUGCUCUUCCUUCAAAGCAGAAUGUGGCUCAAUAGGAAAAGUGCUACCAUAAGAAGUCUGUUAAUUUAUCCUAUAUGAACUUGGGUGUGCAAAGGAUAAAAGGCAAACUUUACAUGCUGGGCUGAAAUUUUCUAUGCUGUGGACCUUACCUCACCCUGGACCAUUUUUACUCCUAGAAUUCUCAUUCUGAAAUAAACUAUUUUGAAUAUCCAAAAAUAACUGUGCCAUGACUGAAAUGUUCUCUGGGAAGGUUUAAACUCUGAAGCUCUGGAAAGGCAGGAAAAGUAUCACCUGAAUUUUUACAGAGAUCUGAAACCACACACAGGAACCCCACCACCAUGGGCAGUGAGGACUGCAGUACCUGCCUAGCCCCAUGAUGGACAACUCAACCCAGACAGGGACUUACAGCAAUAUGAGGAAAUGACUGAAAGCACCAUUCAGUGACUGCGAGCUGCCUGUGGUGAAACCCUUUCUCCAUGGUAAAUGCAAGGGGGCUUCUACCUGUUCCACUGUGAACCACAACCGCCUCAGCUCCCCACAUUUGCAGGAGGAUGAGACCACUCACAUGCACCUUCCCUGUCAGGAAGUGGAGACCCAUGAACCUGUGGUAAUUUAUUUGUGUGUUGAAGCCUGAAAGACUAUUUCUUGAGCACAUACUUGCAGCUUAUAAAAGACUCUGUGAGGUAGCCACUGGCAUGUAGCUCUGCAGGGAAAGAAAGUGAAAAAAUAAAGUGGUAGUGUUUCCUAUAGCCAUGUAGUAGCACAGAUAUCCCUAGCUCCCUUAAGUUAGAUAACAUUGAAAAGAAGGUAAAUAGCAACACUCUCUUUCUAACUUGAUUUCAGGGCAUUACCAUGAUUAGAUACUUAGUCUCUGUUUAUUUCUUAAU